rnacentral:ncRNA from 1 species
AUUUCAGGGGAGCUGGAUAAUGCCAGCUGAGAGUAAGAACUGGAUUCUUAGACCCUUUACCUGAUCUGGAUAAUGCCAGCGUAGGGAGAAUGGUUUACUA